rnacentral:rRNA from 1 species
GACAGAGGGUGCAAACGUUGUUCGGAUUUACUGGGCGUAAAGAGCGUGUAGGCGGCCAAACAGGUCCGUUGUGAAAACUGGAGGCUCAACCUCCAGACGUCGACGGAAACCGUGUGGCUAGAGUCCGGAAGAGGAGAGUGGAAUUCCUGGUGUAGCGGUGAAAUGCGCAGAUAUCAGGAAGAACACCAAUGGCGAAGGCAGCUCUCUGGGACGGUACUGACGCUGAGACGCGAAAGCGUGGGGAGCGAACAGG